rnacentral:rRNA from 1 species
CCUACGGUGGGCUGCAGUGAGGAAUAUUGGUCAAUGGACGAGAGUCUGAACCAGCCAAGUAGCGUGAAGGAUGACUGCCCUAUGGGUUGUAAACUUCUUUUAUCAAGGAAUAAAACGCGGCACGUGUGCCUUUUUGCAUGUCCUUUAUGUAUAAAGAUCGGCUAACCCCGUGCCCGCAGCCGCGGUACUACGGAGGAUCCGAGCGUUAUCCGGAUUUAUUGGGUUUAAAGGGAGCGUAGAUGGGUUGUUAAGUCAGUUGUGAACGUUUGCGGCUCAACCGUAAAAUUGCCAUUGAUCCUGGCAGUCUAGAGUACAGUUGAGGCAGGCGGAAUUCGUGGUGUAGCGGUGAAAUGCUUAGAUAUCACGAAGAACCCCGAUUGCGAAGGCAGCUUACUAAACUAUGACUGACAUUGAGGCUCGAAAGUGUGGGUAUCAAACAGGAUUAGAUACCCGUGUAGUC